UACGUAGGGUCCAAGCGUUGUCCGGAUUUAUUGGGCGUAAAGAGCGUGUAGGCGGCCAGGUAGGUCGGUUGUGAAAACUGGAGGCUUAACCUUCAGACGUCGACCGAAACCAUCUGGCUAGAGUCCGGAAGAGGAGAGUGGAAUUCCUGGUGUAGCGGUGAAAUGCGCAGAUAUCAGGAAGAACACCCGUGGCGAAGGCGGCUCUCUGGGACGGUACUGACGCUGAGACGCGAAAGCGUGGGGGGAGCGAACAGG
rnacentral:rRNA from 1 species